rnacentral:rRNA from 1 species
GAUCAUGGCUCAGGAUGAACGCUAGCUACAGGCUUAACACAUGCAAGUCGAACGGAGAUUACAGGCGGAAGUUUUCGGAUGGAAGCUUGUAAACUUAGUGGCGGACGGGUGAGUAACACGUGAGCAACCUGCCUAUCAGAGGGGGAUAACGAUUGGAAACGAUCGCUAAUACCGCAUGACAUAGCGGAACCGCAUGGUUCUGUUAUCAAAGAUUUUAUCGCUGAUAGAUGGG